GUGGCGGACGGGUGAGUAAUGCUUGGGAAUCUAGCUUAUGGAGGGGGAUAACUACGGGAAACUGUAGCUAAUACCGCGUAGAAUCGAGAGAUGAAAGUGUGGGACCUUCGGGCCACAUGCCAUAGGAUGAGCCCAAGUGGGAUUAGGUAGUUGGUGAGGUAAAGGCUCACCAAGCCGACGAUCUCUAGCUGGUCUGAGAGGAUGACCAGCCACACUGGGACUGAGACACGGCCCAGACUCC
rnacentral:rRNA from 1 species